UACGUAGGGGGCAAGCGUUGUCCGGAAUCAUUGGGCGUAAAGCGCGCGUAGGCGGCCCGAUAAGUCUGCUGUGAAAGUCCAGGGCUCAACCCUGGAAUGCCGGUGGAUACUGUCGGGCUAGAGUUCGGAAGAGGCAAGUGGAAUUCCUGGUGUAGCGGUGGAAUGCGCAGAUAUCGGGAGGAACACCAAUGGCGAAGGCAGCUCGCUGGGACGGUACUGACGCUGAGACGCGAAAAGCGUGGGGAGCGAACAGG
rnacentral:rRNA from 1 species